AUAUUCUGGUUUCUCUUCAGAUUGAAUAAAUCUUUUGCCUUUUGCUAAAGAUUACUGUGGAGAGCAACAACCAAGUCUGACCAAUUUUUUGAGGUGUUAUUUCUACAUGGCUU